rnacentral:rRNA from 1 species
AGUGAACGCUGGCGGUAGGCCUAACACAUGCCAGUCGAACGGCAGCACAGUAAGAGCUUGCUCUUACGGGUGGCGAGUGGCGGACGGGUGAGGAAUACAUCGGAAUCUACUUUUUCGUGGGGGAUAACGUAGGGAAACUUACACUAAUACCGCAUACGACCUACGGGUGAAAGCAGGGGAUCUUCGGACCUUGCGCGAUUGAAUGAGCCGAUGUCGGAUUAGCUAGUUGGCGGGGUAAAGGCCCACCAAGGCGACGAUCCGUAGCUGGUCUGAGAGGAUGAUCAGCCACACUGGAACUGAGACACGGUCCAGACUCCUACGGGAGGCAGCAGUGGGGAAUAUUGGACAAUGGGCGCAAGCCUGAUCCAGCCAUACCGCGUGGGUGAAGAAGGCCUUCGGGUUGUAAAGCCCUUUUGUUGGGAAAGAAAAGCAGCAGGUUAAUACCCCGCUGUUCUGACGGUACCCAAAGAAUAAGCACCGGCUAACUUCGUG